ensembl:misc_RNA Metazoa_SRP Metazoan signal recognition particle RNA
GCUGGGCGUGGUGGCGCGUGCCUGUAGUCCCAGCUACCGGGAGGCUGAGGCAGGAGAAUCGCUUGAACCCAGGAGGCGGAGGUUGCAGUGAGCCGAGAUCGUGCACUCCAGCCUGGGCAACAGAGUGGGACUCUGUCUCAA